rnacentral:rRNA from 1 species
UACCCGCAGCACAAGUGGUGGUCAUUAUUAUUGGGCCUAAAGCGUCCGUAGCUGGCGUGUUAGAUGCCUGGGUAAAUCGAUGCGCUCAACGCAUCGAAUUCCGGGUAGACCGGCACGCUCGAGACCGGGAGAGGUAUGGGGUACUCGGGGGGUAGGGGUAAAAUCCUGUAAUCCUCCGGGGACGACCAGUGGCGAAGGCGCCAUACUAGAACGGCUCUGACAGUGAGGGACGAAGCCUGGGGCGCAAACCGG